rnacentral:rRNA from 1 species
GGGGAAUAUUGGACAAUGGAGGUAACUCUGAUCCAGCAAUUCUGUGUGCACGAAGAAGGUCUUCGGAUUGUAAAGUGCUUUAAGUUGGGAAGAAAAAAAUGACGGUACCAACAGAAUAAGCGACGGCUAAAUACGUGCCAGCAGCCGCGGUAAUACGUAUGUCGCAAGCGUUAUCCGGAAUUAUUGGGCAUAAAGGGCAUCUAGGCGGGGUUUCAAGUCGACGGUGAAAACUAGUGGCUCAACCAUUAGCUUGCCGACGAAACUGAAAUUCUAGAGUAUUGGAAAGGUGGGCGGAACUACAUGAGUAGAGGUGAAAUUCGUAGAUAUAUGUAGGAAUGCCGAUGACGAAGGUAGCUCACUGGACAAAAACUGACGCUGAAGUGCGAAAGCUAGGGGAGCAAAC